rnacentral:rRNA from 1 species
AUGAACGCUGGCGGCGUGCCUAAUACAUGCAGGUCGAGCGAACAGAUGAGGAGCUUGCUCCUCUGACGUUAGCGGCGGACGGGUGAGUAACACGUGGAUAACCUACCUAUAAGACUGGGAUAACUUCGGGAAACCGGAGCUAAUACCGGAUAAUAUAUUGAACCGCAUGGUUCAAUAGUGAAAGACGGUUUUGCUGUCACUUAUAGAUGGAUCCGCGCCGCAUUAGCUAGUUGGUAAGGUAACGGCUUACCAAGGCAACGAUGCGUAGCCGACCUGAGAGGGUGAUCGGCCACACUGGAACUGAGACACGGUCCAGACUCCUACGGGAGGCAGCAGUAGGGAAUCUUCCGCAAUGGGCGAAAGCCUGACGGAGCAACGCCGCGUGAGUGAUGAAGGUCUUCGGAUCGUAAAACUCUGUUAUUGGGGAAGAACAAAUGUGUAAGUAACUAUGCACGUCUUGACGGUACCUAAUCAGAAAGCCACGGCUAACUACGUG